rnacentral:rRNA from 1 species
UACGUAGGGUGCGAGCAUUGUCCGGAAUUACUGGGCGUAAAGCGUGCGCAGGCGGUUUUGUAAGUUUGUCGUGAAAUCCCCGGGCUCAACCUGGGAAUGGCGAUGAAGACUGCAAGGCUAGAGUUUGGCAGGAGGGGGGUGGAAUUCCGCGUGUAGCAGUGAAAUGCGUAGAGAUGCGGAGGAACACCGAUGGCGAAGGCAGCCCCCUGGGCUGACACUGACGCCUCAGGCACGAAAGCGUGGGGAGCAAACAGG